rnacentral:rRNA from 1 species
GACGAACGCUGGCGGCGUGCUUAACACAUGCAAGUCGAGCGAUGAAGCACCUUCGGGUGUGAAUUAGCGGCGAACGGGUGAGGAACACGUGAGAAAUCUGCCUUCAACUCUGGGAUAACUCCGUGAAAACGGGGCUAAUACCGGAUAUGAGAUCUACAGGCAUCUGUGGAUCUGGAAAGUUUUUCGGUUGAAGAUGAUCUCGCGGCCUAUCAGCUUGUUGGUGAGGUAAUGGCUCACCAAGGCGACGACGGGUAGCCGGCCUGAGAGGGCGACCGGCCACACUGGGACUGAGACACGGCCCAGACUCCUACGGGAGGCAGCAGUGGGGAAUAUUGGGCAAUGGAGGAAACUCUGACCCAGCGACGCCGCGUGCGGGAUGAAGGCCUUCGGGUUGUAAACCGCUUUCAGCAGGGAAGAAGCGAAAGUGACGGUACCUGCAGAAGAAGCACCGGCUAACUAUGUGCCAGCAGCCGCGGUAAUACAUAGGGUGCAAGCGUUGUCCGGAAUUAUUGGGCGUAAAGAGCUCGUAGGUGGUUCGUCACGUCGGAUGUGAAACUCUGGGGCUUAACCCCAGACCUGCAUUCGAUACGGGCGAGCUUGAGUAUGGUAGGGGAGUCUGGAAUUCCUGGUGUAGCGGUGGAAUGCGCAGAUAUCAGGAGGAACACCAAUGGCGAAGGCAGGACUCUGGGCCAUUACUGACACUGAGGAGCGAAAGCGUGGGGAGCGAACAGGAUUAGAUACCCUGGUAGUCCACGCCGUAAACGGUGGGCACUAGUUGUGGGGACCUUCCACGGUCUCUGCGACGCAGCUAACGCAUUAAGUGCCCCGCCUGGGGAGUACGAUCGCAAGAUUA